rnacentral:rRNA from 1 species
UACAGAGGGUGCAAGCGUUAAUCGGAAUUACUGGGCGUAAAGCGUGCGUAGACGGUCAUGUAAGUCGGGUGUGAAAGCCCCGGGCUCAACCUGGGAAUUGCAUUCGAGACUGCAUGGCUAGGGUGCGGAAGAGGGAAGCGGAAUUUCCGGUGUAGCGGUGAUAUGCGUAGAUAUCGGGAGGAACACCAGUGGCGAAGGCGGCUCUCUGGGCCUUACCUGACGCUGAGACGCGAAAGCGUGGGGAGCGAACCGG